ensembl:lncRNA
AUGACUAGCAUUAUUACAAGUGUUUGUGUUUCUCUAGUAUGUCUCACAGUUGUAUUUGGUAAAACUGCUUUCCAGUCACCUGGUGACCUCAUUAAGAACCAGGAUGAAUCUGCUGUAAUCAUAUGUACACACAAUAUAGCAAACUAUGACCGUAUUCUUUGGUACAAAAAAGACAUCAUGGGCUUCAAGUUCAUGGGAUUCCUUAAUCUUGACUUUAAAUACCCAGAGCCUGAAUUUGAAAACAAGAUCAAACUGGAUGGAGAUGGAAGAAAUAAUGGCACUCUGACUAUCAACACCCUCACGCUGACUGACAGUGCAGUGUAUUUCUGUGCAGCAUAUUACACAGUGCUCAGAAUCACCCCUAUCUGAUACAAAAACCCUUCUCAGUUCAAACUUUAAAUUCAGUGCUUAUCAGCAAAUUCACUCCCACUCUGCACCUGGACUUGUGGAGUUUGAAUAACUACCAGUAAUGAGAAAAACAAAGUCUUAGCAUUGCACAAAUACAUUGUUCCUUCCUUCAUAUAAAACUGAUUAGUUUAAAAUAGACUUCUAAUAGACUGAAUUUAUCGAUUCAUUCCUGUUAUGCAGUACCCUCUGAAUUGAAUUUCAAAAUGUGACAACAGAAACAAAAAAUUUACUUUCUUUAGGAUGGUGCCAUAAAAUAAAUAAAUAAAUAAUAAUAAUAAUAAUAAUAAAAACCUUUUGUUAUGUGAAAGGACAUAGGACAAAAUAAAUGAAGGAUCUGGAACCUGUAUAUGUGCUGUAUAUAAGUGCUUACAUACAGUAAGUGCAUACAAAUCGCUGCAGUUACCAGUUGAAAUAAACACUAGAGGCAGUAAAACUCCUUCUUUUUCACAUGUAUGAUUUGCAGGUCCACAGUUUAGAAUAAUAAAGCCUAAUUUUCGCAUAAUUACAUUAUGUUAAGGAAUAUUAUGUUAUGAAUGCAAAACAAUUUUAACAUGCUGCGAGAUUUGAAAACUGGUGCAUUUGUAGGUAAGUGUCACAUAUCAAGCUUUAUAUGCAUGAGUUUUUUUCUAUUUCAGUAGGUUUGCUCGGUAGCUCACGGGAUUGUUAACAGUAUCAGGUAGGUUUAGGUUGGGUUUGGUGUAGGGGAUAUUUCCAACAAGAUACAGCAUUAAUUUUCAGCAACACUCCUCGAAUAUUUGAAUUAUGAACCACCGCAAUACGUACCUGAAGCAAUGUAAUACAAAUACAGCAAUAUGUGCCUAUAUCAAAGUAACAAAUACGUGCCAGGGUCACAUAUUGAAUCUGCGUUUCACUUUGAAACUGCAGUGAAAUGUGCAGUAAGGUACGUAAAAACAAAAGUUAAAUAAAUAAAUCAAUAAAAUCCUGCACAUACAGUAUUUAAAAUAAAAAUAAAAGUAGUGCUCCUUGUUUUGUGGAAUUAAACUCAAUUCAUUGCUAGCACUAACCAGAGAGAUACA